rnacentral:lncRNA from 1 species
UGGCUGCCUCUCAAAAAAGAGGAGGUAUGUGAAUUUCUUGUCAAGUUCCAUGCCCAUAGGGAGUUUUGUGUUAGGCUGAAGUAAAAGUCAGUGAAUGAUUCAGGAGUUCAGAAUUGGGCUGCAACAGUAUUUCAGAAACUUCUCCUGAAUUUCUGCAAGAAACUUGGAACAGAGGGACCAAAUUUCCUGAGAAGACUGAUCCCUGAUAAAGAUGAUUGGUGAAGAUGAAGUGUGUUAGCUAUAUCUAAUUAAUGUUAUUGUUAUUGUAGAGAGAGAA